rnacentral:rRNA from 1 species
UGGAAGUAAAAAAUCGUAACAAGGUCUCCGUAGGUGAACCUGCGGAGGGAUCAUUACACAAUAACCAGGCGGGCUGGACACCCCCCGCUGGGCACUGCUUCACGGCGUGCGCGGCGGGGCCGGCCCUGCUGAAUUAUUCACCCGUGUCUUUUGCGUACUUCUUGUUUCCUGGGUGGGCUCGCCCGCCCUCAGGACCAACCACAAACCUUUUGCAAUAGCAAUCAGCGUCAGUAACAACGUAAUUAAUUACAACUUUCAACAACGGAUCUCUUGGUUCUGGCAUCGAUGAAGAACGCAGCGAAAUGCGAUACGUAGUGUGAAUUGCAGAAUUCAGUGAAUCAUCGAAUCUUUGAACGCACAUUGCGCCCUUUGGUAUUCCAAAGGGCAUGCCUGUUCGAGCGUCAUUUGUACCCUCAAGCUUUGCUUGGUGUUGGGCGUCUUUUGUCUCCAGUUCGCUGGAGACUCGCCUUAAAGUCAUUGGCAGCCGGCCUACUGGUUUCGGAGCGCAGCACAAGUCGCGCUCCUCGCCAGCCAAGGUCAGCGUCCAGCAAGCCUUUUUUUCAACCUUGACCUCGGAUCAGGU